GAUGAACGCUGGCGGCGUGCCUAAUACAUGCAAGUCGAGCGAACAGAUGAGGAGCUUGCUCCUCUGACGUUAGCGGCGGACGGGUGAGUAACACGUGGAUAACCUACCUAUAAGACUGGGAUAACUUCGGGAAACCGGAGCUAAUACCGGAUAAUAUAUUGAACCGCAUGGUUCAAUAGUGAAAGACGGUUUUGCUGUCACUUAUAGAUGGAUCCGCGCCGCAUUAGCUAGUUUGUAAGGUAACGGCUUACCAAGGCAACGAUGCGUAGCCGACCUGAGAGGGUGAUCGGCCACACUGGAACUGAGACACGGUCCAGACUCCUACGGGAGGCAGCAGUAGGGAAUCUUCCGCAAUGGGCGAAAGCCUGACGGAGCAACGCCGCGUGAGUGAUGAAGGUCUUCGGAUCGUAAAACUCUGUUAUUAGGGAAGAACAAAUGUGUAAGUAACUAUGCACGUCUUGACGGUACCUAAUCAGAAAGCCACGGCUAACUACGUG
rnacentral:rRNA from 1 species